UGCAUUUUGUGCUGGAAUCCUUGUAGUCGUAAGCAAUGCAGCCUGCAUGAGCGGUGAUACAAAAGUGAAACCGGGUACAGAGCCUAAAGGUUGUUACUUGCCUUGACUGUACAUGUGAUUCUAAUGGAAAAUACGAAUGCUGCACAGCUUACGGUAAACCAGUAAACUAUGAUAAGGAGAGAUGCAAAUUCGUGUUUGACCGGAAAAACUGUGUCUACAACCUGAUUCCAAAUGAAGAUCCAACCAAACAGUGUGAAUCUUACGGAAUGGUGGGCUAAACAUAUUGUCUGCAAUGUCUACCUCAGUACUUAUCUCUAUAGAGGACGAUGGUCAAAUGUAUUUACCAUCAGCAAGUUAAACGGGUUGUCCCACAAAAAAUAUUUUGUAAUUGCAUGUAAUUCAAAAUUUUGGAUGAGUUAUUCAAUAAAAUGUAUCUGGAUAGCGCCA